UACGUAGGGGGCUAGCGUUAUCCGGAAUCACUGGGCGUAAAGCGUCUGUAGGUGGUUUAAUAAGUCAACUGUUAAAUCUUGAGGCUCAACCUCAAAAUCGCAGUCGAAACUAUUAGGCUAGAGUAUAGUAGGGGUAAAGGGAAUUUCCAGUGGAGCGGUGAAAUGCGUAGAGAUUGGAAAGAACACCGAUGGCGAAGGCACUUUACUGGGCUAUUACUAACACUCAGAGACGAAAGCUAGGGUAGCAAAUGGG
rnacentral:rRNA from 1 species